AUGUUAGCGGCGGACGGGUGAGUAACACGUGGAUAACCUACCUAUAAGACUGGGAUAACUUCGGGAAACCGGAGCUAAUACCGGAUAAUAUUUUGAACCGCAUGGUUCAAAAGUGAAAGACGGUCUUGCUGUCACUUAUAGAUGGAUCCGCGCUGCAUUAGCUAGUUGGUAAGGUAACGGCUUACCCAGGCAACGAUGCAUAGCCGACCUGAGAGGGUGAUCGGCCACACUGGAGCUGAGACACGGUCCAGACUCCUACGGGAGGCAGCAGUAGGGAAUCUUCCGCAAUGGGCGAAAGCCUGACGGAGCAACGCCGCGUGAGUGAUGAAGGUCUUCGGAUCGUAAAACUCUGUUAUUAGGGAAGAACAUAUGUGUAAGUAACUGUGCACAUCUUGACGGUACCUAAUCAGAAAGCCACGGCUAACUACGUGCCAGCAGCCGCGGUAAUACGUAGGUGGCAAGCGUUAUCCGGAAUUAUUGGGCGUAAAGCGCGCGUAGGCGGUUUUUUAAGUCUGAUGUGAAAGCCCACGGCUCAACCGUGGAGGGUCAUUGGAAACUGGAAAACUUGAGUGCAGAAGAGGAAAGUGGAAUUCCAUGUGUAGCGGUGAAAUGCGCAGAGAUAUGGAGGAACACCAGUGGCGAAGGCGACUUUCUGGUCUGUAACUGACGCUGAUGUGCGAAAGCGUGGGGAUCAAACAGGAUUAGAUACCUGGUAGUCCACGCCGUAAACGAUGAGUGCUAAGUGUUAGGGGGUUUCCGCCCCUUAGUGCUGCAGCUAACGCAUUAAGCACUCCGCCUGGGGA
rnacentral:rRNA from 1 species